CUGCCCUUUCCAGGCUCCCUCCGUCUCUUGCUCUGACUUGGAGCUGCCUAUGCAUCUGUUUCUCCGACCUCUUUUCCACUCUUCACUCCCACCGAAUCAUGUAAUAACAACAGUCAGUGUUGCCAUAUGCCUGCUCUCCACACAAGGCUGAGAAGUCUCGCGAUCUGCCGUCUGCAAGCUGGAGAGAUCCGGGAAAGCUAGUGCCUCCCAGCUCAGACUCAGUCUGAGUCCAAGGGUCUGAGAUCCAGGAGCACCAAGGGUAGAUAAAUAUCCCAGCUCAAGCAAUCAGACAGUGACUUCACUGCUUUCCUUUUAUAAACACAAACAUCAGUUCUCAAAUCGUCUCUGCGGUCUUCGCGCCGCAAGUUCUGCCUGCC